AACUGCAGCCUUACUCCCAGCGAUGAGUGGCUGAAUCGAUUUCAACAAAAUCGCUAAUAUCGUACUCCCACCGCACAUUUUUGCGGCUCAUUGUGUUAUGACGUCACGCAAACCGUUCAGUGAAAAUUAUAGCGUUACUAAGCCAGAAAUUCGCACCACGAGCUCAUCACACAGACUAGAUUAUAAUGUCAAAAUUGCACUGAGCCGCCCCUUUGAAAAAAGUUCCUAUUCUUGCAACGCAAAGCCAUUACAAUGGCUAAUUUUCCUAUUUUUGUAAGAAAAACAGCCUGUAAUUAUACCUACAAAGUGAUGUGAAAGUAGUUACUAAGGAUACGUGAGGAUUGCAAACCAGUCUCCCUGGAUAUUCAAAGGAGUUGACGGACAAUUUGAUUGAAGACUUUAGCUCCAUGAAACUAGCUGAUUUUAGCGUAACAAAUAAGGUUUUUACUGCGUUGCAACUGGCUCCAGACUGGAAUUUAUAACCAAGACUAAAUAUUCAAGUGCCUAUCUGAAGUACUUAACAACAAGUUGUAUUAAGAUCUUAUGAAGUUAAUACCUACAUAAGAAACUAAAUUGGCAUAUCAUUCUGCUACUGAAUAAUCAAGAAGCAGUUUUUUAGCUAAUAGAAGAGAACCUUAUGCUUGAUAUUUCAGAACACUAAUAAUAAUUGUGAUGUGAUUUAAUAUGAUACUUAAUAAACACAAAAUACAGCAAAAACCAUGUUUCAUUUCAUUAUUUACCUGUUGAUGUUGCACUUGACUAAGAGGUCAUUCAUGAUCCUAUUGAUUUAUAAAGGCUUGAUAGGAAGUAUUCCUUCUUAAGAGUCCGGCAAUGAUAACAUUGCAACAUGGAAGAAUUGUAUAAGUAUGUAACAUUGUAAGUUGUACUUUUAAUAUAUGGAUACCUUACCUGUUGCAAUGUUAUACCCUUGCUAUUUCACCAACCGAGCAGAGUGGCAAGACAGUACUCUUCGAUCUUAAACCAUUCCGUGGAUCACAAUUUAACAAGAGUGCUCAGCGGAGGACACUGUCUCGGGCCGCUCUACUUGGUGGUGUAAUCGGGGUGUUAGCAUUAUCUGCUUUAUGAAGAUUAGGUAGACACAUUUUUUAUGUUUAAAGCAGGGUUUACUUACAUGAUAACAUUGUGUUUUUACAUAAGCAGACACUUGGUCCAUGCAUAAUGUUACAACUCUUAUUACUAGUUAUUACUGCUUUUUCUUAGAACUGCUUUAAACAUAAAGAAUAAAAAAUAAAACAGCCGCAUUCAACUUUUAAUAUGAUUAAUACAUUACGAGUAAUCGUUUAUAGAGUUUACAAUGCAUGAGUCUAAUAAGUACACACCUAAACUAUGAUCACUUACGACUUACGAACUUUUGGAUUUCGAUAUGAUUAUGGAAUUGUAUUAAGUAUAUGUGGUUGAAAGCACGAUCUUAGAGUAUGGGUUUGCACUUAUUAUUCAGAAAUAUUAUCACGGUACAAGAUAUUUUCAGUAUUUCACUGUAAUUGUAGGUUAUGUUGAGUAUUUUUUCAAUAAAUUUCCGCCUUGAGUUAAAACUUU